AGAGUUUGGUGAGACGUAUGGUCAGAGAUGAAAAUGGUACACAUUUUGAUCGGCCCUCCCCAGUCUAUGAUCAGAAAGAAUUUGUACCGCUGGAAGUAAAAUCUGGUGCUUUGGUGGUUAUACAUGGAGAUCUUAUACAUCAGAGUUUUGAGAACCUUUCUCCAGCGUCAAGACAUGCAUUCAGCUUAUGGAUACUGAAGGAUGUAAAUGGUCCGAAGACAACUGGCGCAAGCAAGCUACGCCUACAAAAGAAGCAUCUGCUCUUUACGCUGCUCAGUCUCAUCUCGUGCAAGGCGAAAGAUUUCUCAUUCCGGUGUGGUGGCCCAAUCCCUUCUACGUGAUUACAAAGGGCAGCUUCAUUUCAUCCCUAGACUGUUGUCGUCCCAAUUUCUUGCCCCACCCUUCAUCUUAGUUUCUUGCUCGCUUCAGCCCUUUUUCUAUGUGACACACCCUAUGGUCCAUUCACCUUUGCGUUGUGCAGGAUUACUUCAGUAGAUUUUGGUUCAAUAGAAUUUGCGUGUCUUAGUAUAUUUUGCUUCCAUAAUGAUCUAUAAAGUUGGGACUCAUCCUCUCAAUUCUACUUAAUGUGCUAUUCAUGACUUUUCAGAUUCUUAGGUCGGUGCUAGUUCGCUCAAUGCUCAUACCUCACUACUGGCAAGGGAUAAGAGUUGGGUGAAGAGCUUGGAAAGACUCAGCCACUCAGAUGGCAAAGACAGAAUAGAAGAUGGGAACAGGUCGAUGGUACAAAGGUUUAGAUCUCAACUGACCCAUCAGAUGGAUGCCUUGCAUAAAACCGUAUCAAGUUCUGUUGCAGUUCUAUCAUGCAACAGAAGGACCACCUUAAUGAAAUGAAACAUGAAAGUGGUUAGAGCCGAAGGUCUUGUUGAAAGGACCAUCUUCUUUUGUGUUGUAACAACUAUAUAUUCUUCACGGGUAUCUUUCAGUUAUAACAACUAAUCACUGCUUACAUAUGGCAAAGACAGAAUAGAAGAUGGGAACAGGUCGAUGGUACAAAGGUUUAGAUCUCAACUGACCCAUCUCAAACGGAGAGGAAUUUCGAAUUGUGGCAGGUGCUGCCUCCACCUGGUAACGGUGGGCUGAAAUACUAUGGUUGUGAGCAGUAAAUUCGACCAAAUCAUCUGCUCCACAGAAGCCAUCAGCGCCUCGACCGGACAGUGACAUAGGUGA